rnacentral:rRNA from 1 species
UACGGAGGAUCCAAGCGUUAUCCGGAUUCAUUGGGUUUAAAGGGUGCGUAGGUGGAUAAGUAAGUCAGUGGUGAAAUCUCCGGGCUUAACCCGGAAACUGCCAUUGAUACUAUUUGUCUUGAAUACUUUGGAGGUAAGCGGAAUAUGUCAUGUAGCGGUGAAAUGCUUAGAUAUGACACAGAACACCAAUUGCGAAGGCAGCUCGCUAAACCAUAACUGACGCUGAGGCACGAAAGCGUGGGGAGCAAACAGG